rnacentral:rRNA from 1 species
AUUGAACGCUGGCGGCAUGCUUUACACAUGCAAGUCGAACGGUAACAGGCCGCAAGGUGCUGACGAGUGGCGAACGGGUGAGUAAUGCAUCGGAACGUGCCCAGUCGUGGGGGAUAACGCAGCGAAAGCUGUGCUAAUACCGCAUACGAUCUGUGGAUGAAAGCGGGGGACCGAAAGGCCUCGCGCGAUUGCAGCGGCCGAUGUCAGAUUAGGUAGUUGGUGGGGUAAAGGCUCACCAAGCCAACGAUCUGUAGCUGGUCUGAGAGGACGACCAGCCACACUGGGACUGAGACACGGCCCAGACUCCUACGGGAGGCAGCAGUGGGGAAUUUUGGACAAUGGGCGCAAGCCUGAUCCAGCAAUGCCGCGUGCAGGAAGAAGGCCUUCGGGUUGUAAACUGCUUUUGUACGGAGCGAAAAGGCUCUCUCUAAUACAGGGGGCUCAUGACGGUACCGUAAGAAUAAGCACCGGCUAACUACGUGCCAGCCGCCGCAGUAACAC